GCUGGUCACAGUGGAGCAUGCCUGUAGUCCCAGCUACUCAGGAGGCUGAGGUGGGAGGAUCGCUUGAGCCCAGGAGUUCUGGGCUGUAGUGCACUAUGCCGAUCGGUGUCCGCACUAAGUUCAGCAUCAAUAUGGUGACCUACCAGGAGUCGGGGACCACCAGGUUGCCUAAGGAGGGGUGAACCGGCCCAGGUCGGAAACGGAGCAGGUCAAAACUCCCGUGCUGAUCAGUAGUGAGAUCUUGCCUGUGAAUAGCCACUGCACUCCAGCCUGGGCAAUAUAGCAAGAGCCCAUCUCUA
ensembl:misc_RNA Metazoa_SRP Metazoan signal recognition particle RNA